AUCAAAAUUCUACACUUAUAAACUUCCUAUGCUUCUACUUCAACACUACAGAAUACAUCAGAGCUUUUUUUUUUUUUAAAUCUUUACGGUUCAAUGCAAACCGGUCAUCAUGCCAUAACAGAACAUCAAUCACAAUGAUUUUGAGCAAAUAAACUUGCCAGUCAGAAACCACUUUGAGCCAAGUGUCCAAAUAUCCGAUUAUGCGUUUACACGCGUGUUCUGGUGUAAACAUUAUGCAGAUCCUCGGGAAAGAUAUAUUUAAAAUAUUUCCCGUUUGUUGAAAAUGCUUCAUCAUCUAAGCAUCUACAUGUAUCUGUUGGUUUCCAUGUUUAGCUGUCUUUUUCUUCAAGGAUUUUCGUUAACUAAUAAAGGAGACUGCCCAGAGAGUACUGUGGAGAGUCCAUGUUGUUACAACUUCCGGUUGGAAGACGAUAAAUGUAUCAAAUGCUCUCCAGGAUAUUUCGGAAUCGACUGUAUGUUGACAUGCCCCGAUGGACAGUACGGACAUUCCUGCCUACAAAGGUGCACUACCUGCAAAAGAACCGAUUGUCAUCAUGUUUAUGGCUGCAAUACAACAGAAUCUUCAACCUUAAUAUUAUCUUCCAUAAAAAUCCAGACAACAACGUUUACACGGGAGAAGAUUGACAUUUCUAGUGUAAACCUUACGCAGUCCAGCCUAAUAACUACUACAUCGGUGAUGGGUGAGAAAAAUAACACAAACAGUAUUAUUCUUGCAGUGGGCUGUGGCAUAACAUUAUGUUUAGUAAUUAAUAUCAUUCAAAGCGUAUAUAAGCAAAUCUUGGAAUCCAAAUGGAAAAGACGCUCGACUGUCAAACAGGAAGAAAUGGCUGAAAUAUACACCGAAAUUGAUGACGGCAGACAUAAUGUAAAUAGACGCAAAGAAAAAGCUAGUAAAGACGUACGGAAAGCCACAGGGGACCCCCAGGUCAUGUUCUAUAUAUUUCAUUGUACAUCAAUCCAGGCCGGCCAGGAUAUAUUCUCCUGGCCAAGUCAGGAUUGCAAACAUGACCAGCCAUGAUUUUCAAUCCUGGCACAUCUUAUCCUGGCCGGUCGGGUUGUGAUUUCAAUCCUGGCCAAUAAAAUGGUUAUCCAAUCCUGACCAAGUCAAGAUAGACAAUCUGGCCAUACACUCCUGGUCACGGUCAUGGUUUCAAACAUGACCAAAUCAGGAUUGAUAACCUGAACAUCCAAUUCUGGUCAGUCAUGAUUUUUAAUCCUGGCCAAGUCAGGAUUGAUAAUCUGACCAUUCAAUCUUGGUCAGUCAUGAUUUUCAAUCCUGGCCAAGUCAGGAUUGCAUUGCGCCAGGAUGUAUGACUUCCAAACACAGUCAAGAUUUAUUCAGGCGUCAAUCCUGAUCGGGCAGGAUUGCAUUGGGCCAUGACAUAUUACUUUCAAACGCAGUCAAGAUUCGUUUUAGUAUGAUAAUAUGUAGAUAGGAUGUAAGCGCUUCACUCACACCAAAAGCCCGCUAAAAUCCCGCUGCAGACCGUUCGCCUCAGCUGACACGUACAGUAAGUACAGAUGUUUUUCCCAUAUAGAACUUUAUGAAUAUCUCCGUUUGCUAUUUUACACAUGUACAUUGCUUCAUAUUUCGUUAGAAUAAAUUGUACGAACAUCAUUCCCGACAACCAAAGGCAUUCUGCAGUUCUCAUCGAGGAAAUUCGGAUUUAUCCAUUCAGACACUACCAAGCACCAAGUCACAGCAAUAUGUGUAUUGAACCAUCAAGAAAGCUGCAAAUACAGAGACUGGUUUUAGACCUGUUGCUGUCUUUUUCUUCAAGGAAUUUCGCAAACUAAUAAAGGAGACUGCUCAGAGAGUACUGUGGAGAGUCCAUGUUGUUACAACUUCCGGCUGAAAGACGAUAAAUGUAUCAGUUUUCGAAGGAAUGUCUGAGGCAAAAGAGGUGGACAAUUUUUGUCAGCGCCAGGACUUUGCCAUAAAAAAGCCCUAGUUGCCUUUUUCUACGUACCUUUUCUAAAGGCAGUUGGACAGAGACGCAGAAAACUGUGAAAACAAUUGUUAUAUCGAAGCUAAGCACUGUUAUGCCUACAACAUAUGUAUUUUGUUCUGGUCUUCAAUACACACUCUCGGCAACUGACCUUCACCUUAUAACAACAUAUAACUAGUGAUCCCAGUGUCUACCAAAAAAAAAAAAGAUCGAAGACAUUUGAACUUUCAAUUAUGAAUAAUAAAAUAUUGUAUUUCUUACCUUAAGUUGUAUUAUAAUGCUCUCCCUUUUUUAUUGAGCUUCGUAACAUCAAGUAAAGUAUAACACCGUGCUCCCACUUCUUAACCACGUAUAGAUCACAAUUCAAAAAUAAUAAUAAUGAAAGGUGAAGAUAACGAACAGUGAUCAAUCUCAUAACUCGUAUAAGCAAUACAAAAUAGAGAGUUGGGCAAACACGGACCCCUGGACACACCAGAAGUGGGAUCUGGUGUCUAGGAGGAGUAAGCAUCCCAUAAUUUGUCAAAUCCAAAAAAUUAAUAAUAAUUGCACUCUUUCUAUGUAAAUAAAAUCAACGUCAAUUACAACUGUUAAAUUAAAGGAAUACCAUUACCAAAUAGUGUUUAGACAGUGACCCAUGUAAAUAUUUACUUGCAAUUGCCGAUUUCACACUCAUUUGGGUAUUUACAUCCCUAUUUGCAUGCACUGGUAGGUGAAAUAUAACAUUCGGGAAAUUUGUCAACAUCGAAAUAAAUGUAUGUGGUGAAUGAAUUAGGCCCCUUAAAGCUGAGGUUUUAAAACUAUUUAACACUAUUUUCACUAUCAGUUGAUCGAAGAAGGUCGCAUAUGACGUCGCUAUCACGUGACUAUACCUAACUAAAUAACGAGUUGAUAUCGGGGCUUAGAUUUAAAUCCGUAUUGCGGAUAAUUAUUGCAAUAUUUCGGCGAACGAACUAUUAGAAUUAAGAUUACUAUAAGCAUAAGAAAGACAACAUGCAUAUGAUUUUGUAUACUUUGGAAACAUGCGAUGUGUCCUUUAAUGGUAAGAGUAAAACGCAACUGCAUACUAAUCAAGCUAAUGAGGCAAUAAUCAAGCUACAAUCAAGAUACAAUAAUUAAACUACCUGUACCGAGGGAAAGGAUAUUUCAUCUUUUGCGUGACUUGUGACUUUCACUUUUAAUGCUAGGUGCUUAGGUAAAGAACAAUCACUGCCUAUAUUUAACGAUUAUUGAUCCCGGCUAGCAUGAAUGGUGAACAUAGCGAUCUUAUAACUCCUAUAGGUAGUGAUAUGUAGUGGAUAUUCCUUCACACAGCGCCCGGCAUUAGAAGUAAAGAUCACGAGUAUCUCGGAUAUGACCUUAACGGAAGUCCUACUUAAUCUCUUACGCAACCACGAGAUUGAGAAUCGAACCUGGGCCUCUAGGUUGCGAAUUAAGUGCCCUAACCACUGGGCUAGUACUGUAUCGCAACAGGUAGCGCAGGUAAUGGAACAAUCGUCAACCAAUAUAUUCCGUACAAUCCAAUAUUACAGAACAAUAAAAUAUAAACACAGGGUACAGGUAGUGUAAUACAAGAUAAACCUAAAUAUUCACCAUUAAUACGUAAGCAUUCGUUAUGAAUGGGUUUACUGUAUAUAAAAUGUAAUUAUAUCCCAUUGUCUACUUAGAAUGCUCUCCAGGAUAUUUCGGAAUCGACUGUAUGUUGACAUGCCCCGGUGGACGGUACGGACAUUCCUGCCUACAAAGGUGCACUACAUGCAAAACAACCGAUUGUCAUCAUGUUUAUGGCUGCAAUACAACAGAAUCUUCAACCUUAAUAUUAUCUUCCAUAAAAAUCCAGACAACUUUAUUACCGUUUACACGGGAGAAGAUUGACAUUUCUAGUGUAAGCCUUACACAGUCCAGCCUAAUAACUACUACAUCGGCGAUGGUUGAGAAAAAUAUGUCUAACAAUAUUAUUUUAGUAGUGGGCUGUGCCAUAACAUUAUGUUUAGUAAUUAUUAUCAUUCAAGGUGUACAUAAACAAAUCUUGAAAUCCAAACGGAAAGGACGCUCGACUGUCAAACAGGAAGAAAUGGCUGAAAUAUACUCCGAAAUUGAGGACAGAGCUUUCGUCGGCAGGCCUAAUGUCGUAAAUAGACAUGAAGAGAAAUCUACAAAUGACAGGAAUAAAUACAAUGUAUUGAUAAAUUGUGAAUAAAAGUUACCUGGACGCGGAUAUCAGGAAAUCAAUGAAAUCCCAGAAAUAUCUGAUAGGGCCGACGUGAAAUCCCAAGGAGCCACCGAUUCUGACAGUAACGGGGAAUCCUAUUUAGAGCCGAAUGAACAAGGAUCCGCCCACACCUAUACCAAGGUCAUAGAUUCUGAUGACGAACGAACCAGUCCCUCUUCAACAGUUGGAUGUGAAAACUAUUUGGACCCUGUACUUGAAGUAACUCCGCGAAUGCCUGCACAUUUGUGUAAGCCUGUUCUGUCUGAUUCCAGCGAAAACUCUGAACAGUAUCAGGACACAGCCUUGCCCCUUGGCUAUGGGCGAGGAAGUCGGAAUGACCAAAAUGGACAUACUUCCGACAGAGCAAACGUGUUAUACCUUGAUGUAACUUACUCUUGACAAAUUUUGAAAAGCGAUAUCAUCGCCUCAUGCUUAGUUUUAUCAUAUUCAAUUCGAUGUACAUUGUAGACAUUGUAGAUAUAUUGUAUAUUAUAAACUC